GCGUCCUUAGCUCAGUUGGAUAGAGCAACGACCUUCUAAGUCGUGGGCCGCAGGUUCGAAUCCUGCAGGGCGCGCCA
rnacentral:tRNA from 1 species